AGCCUGCUGAGAAAAAAUAUAUCAGGUAACACCUGCCCAGUGAAUUCAUUUCAACGGCCGCGGCAACCCGUGCUAAGGUAGCAUAAUCACUCGCCCCUUAAUUAGGGGCUAGAAUGAACGGAUAAACGAGAAAUUGACUGUCUCUAAGACACAAAUAAAAACUAUCCUUUAUGUGAAAAGACAUAAAUCCCCAAAAAAGACAAAAAGACCCUAUUGCGCUUUAUUGUAACCCGUAAAAUUAAACCAUAUAGGCAUCAAUUUAGUUGGGGCGACACUGGAUACUAUCAAUCAUCCAAUAAAACCAAGAGAAACUUCUCCCUCAAUUGACCCUUUUCUAGAUCAAAGGAUAAAGCUACCGUAGGGAUAACAGGCUAAUCCCCUCCUAGAGCCCAUAUCAACGAGGGGGGUUGGCACCUCGAUGUUGGCUUAGGAUUCCAGAUAAGCGCAGCAGCCUAUCCUAGAAGGUUUGUUCAACCUAAUUAAUCCU
rnacentral:rRNA from 1 species